AUACUGUAAUUAGCCAUGAGCCAACUGAUGCUUCUAUACAUUAUUAUCUCUAAUUUUUAUAGUAAUGUUAUAAGGAAAGUGUUAUUAGCUUUAUUUUAUAGAAAAAUGAAGACUCAGAUAUACUGAGGAGUAGCUCUGGCAUUUGAGCUCAGGCUGGCCAGAUUCCUUCCAUGGUGCCAGGCUGAAAGUCAUUUCUGCUGAUCACUUGUCUAAAAACCAUUCAUUCAGACUAAGGAUAUCUGUUGGACCCAAAGUGUGCAAAGCGAUAAGGUAAGCAGUCUUAUGGAAAGCCCUAUUUUAGUAAAACAGAAAAUGUUAGAAGAGAGGCUAUGGAUAGGAAUAAUAAUACAAAUACUUGUAUGGUGCCCCUUGGGAGAAGGCAACGCCCUGAGAGCUUUAUGAAUGUUUGAAGUCAUGACAACUUUAUGGGGUAGAUGUUAUCAUGAUCACUCUGGUUUUCCAGAUUAAGAAACAGAAGAGAGAGGUUAUGUUAGUUGCCUCAAGGUUACCCAGCUAGUAAGUAGUAAAGCUGGAAUGUGAUCUCAGUAAGUCUGGCUCCUGAGUCCCUAUUAUUCACUCCUUCACUCUGCUGCCUGUUUUGUGUUUAAUUCCUAUUAUCAGAUACAAUCUAAUGACAGAUCCUGCUGACCCUCCUCUAAGCCAGGGCAAGAAGCCACUCAAUGAUUCCUUACAUGCCCAUAUUAUUUCUUGCUUGGAGUGGAAGAAGGGAAACUUUCUCCCACGGCUAGAAGAUUGCUGUGUAGUCAUACAAGCAACAUUAUCUGUCUCUUCCAGAAUAAUUCUAGAGUCAAACCAAUGCGAAUGAGGUGGAUGAAGGCACCAUGGCUGGCGUGAGCUCCCAGGAAAAUGUGAAGGUAUUAGUUUUUCUCUGGUUGGCUGAUGUUCCCAAGCACUGACUGUGUUCUCCAAAUUUAAAGAUGAGGGAAGGAAGAAGGUAUACAUCUUUACCAAAUUUAGGUUAUGUGAGCUGUAGGAGCUGGGUGUCCCAUGGAGUCUGUGGAGGGAAGUGAAGCAUAGUCUACAUUAGAGCAGACUUCCUUAAGCAGAGAUUGCCAAGGUUGGAAUGCUUACGUCUCCUCAAAACUCGUUUGUUGAUAUCCGUACCCCCAAGGUGACGAUAUUAAGAUGUGGGCUAAGGCCCUCCAGAAUGAGAUAAGUGCCCUUAUAAAAGAGGUCUGAGCAAAGUUCUUUGCCCUUUCUAUCAUAGGAGGUUAGAGUGAGAAGACAGCCAUCUAUGAAUGAGGAAGCAGGCCCUCACCAGACACUGAAUCUUCUG
rnacentral:lncRNA from 1 species